UACAGAGACUGCGAGCGUUAUUCGGAUUCACUGGGCGUAAAGGGUGCGCAGGCGGCCGUGUGUGUGAGGCGUGAAAGCCCGGGGCUUAACCCCGGAAUUGCACCUCAAACUACACGGCUAGAGCAUUGGAGAGGGUAGCGGAAUUCACGGUGUAGCAGUGAAAUGCGUAGAUAUCGUGAGGAACACCAGAGGCGAAGGCGGCUUCCUGGUCUGUAACUGACACUGAGGCGCGAAAGCUAGGGGAGCAAACAGG
rnacentral:rRNA from 1 species